rnacentral:rRNA from 1 species
AACGAACGCUGGCGGCAUGCCUAACACAUGCAAGUCGAACGAUGCCUUCGGGCAUAGUGGCGCACGGGUGCGGAACGCGGGGGAAUCUGCCUGUCGGUUCGGAAUCACUCAGGGAAACUUGAGCUAAUACCGGAUAACGUCGCAAGACCAAAGAGUUAUGACGGAAAGAUGAGCCCGCGUAGGAUUAGCUAGUUGGUGAGGUAAAGGCUCACCAAGGAGACGUUGCUUAGCUGGUCUGAGAGCAUGAUCCGCCACGCUGGGAAUACGACACGGCCCAGACUCGUACGCAGGGGAGGAGUAGGGUAUACAGGGCGCGGAGGGAAGGCGUGGUAACGCAAUGCCGCGUAAGAGGGGAAGGCGUUAGGGUUGUGAAGCUGUUUUACACGGAGAGAUAGUGACGGUACCGGGUGAAUAAGCACCGGCUAACUACGUG